UGGGGAUUUUUCCGCAAUGGGCGCAAGCCUGACGGAGCAACGCCGCGUGCGGGAUGACGCCUUUCGGGGUGUAAACCGCUGUUCGGGGGGACGAAGCACUGACGGUACCCCCGGAGGAAGGCCCGGCUAACUACGUGCCAGCAGCCGCGGUAAUACGUAGGGGUCGAGCGUUGUCCGGAGUUACUGGGCGUAAAGCGUGCGCAGGCGGCUCUCUGCGCCCGGCGUGAAAGCCCCCGGCUCAACCGGGGAGGGUCGUCGGGGACGGGAGAGCUUGAGGGUAUCAGGGGCUGGUGGAAUUCCCGGUGUAGUGGUGAAAUGCGUAGAGAUCGGGAGGAACACCCGUGGCGAAGGCGGCCAGCUGGGAUACACCUGACGCUGAGGCACGAAGGCGUGGGGAGCGAAAGGGAUUAGAUACCCCUGUAGUCA
rnacentral:rRNA from 1 species